rnacentral:rRNA from 1 species
GACCUGGCUGGGCGGUCUUGCCGAAAGGUAAGCACUGCUCUGGUCGGGUCUUUCCUUCUGGGGAACCAGCGUGCGCUUAGCUGAGUGCGUUGGGGAUCCAGGACUUUUACUUUGAAAAAAUUAGAGUGUUUAAAGCAGGCUUUCGCUUGAAUACAUUAGCAUGGAAUAAUAGAAUAGGAC